rnacentral:rRNA from 1 species
UAAGUUAAUAGUGAAAGCGUGUGGCUCAACCACAUAUACAUUAUUAAACUGCUCGGCUAGAAGAUGGGAGAGGUAGCUGGAAUUCCUAGUGUAGGAGUGAAAUCCGUAGAUAUUAGGAGGAACACCGAUGGCGUAGGCAGGCUACUGGCCCAUUCUUGACACUAAGGCACGAAAGCGUGGGGAGCGAACGGGAUUAGAUACCCCGGUAGUCCACGCCGUAAACGAUGGAUGCUA